AGAGUUUGAUCCUGGCUCAGGAUGAACGCUGGCGGCGUGCCUAAUACAUGCAAGUCGAACGGGUGUAGCAAUACACUAGUGGCGAACGGGUGAGUAACACGUUGGUGACCUGCCCUAAAGAGGGGAAUACCACUUCGAAAGGAGUGACAAAACCGCAUAAGCUAGUGCUAGUUAGAGAGGCAUUAGUAAAAGAGCAAUCUACUUUAGGAGGGGCCUGCGGCCCAUCAGCUAGUUGGUGAGGUAAAAGCCCACCAAGGCGAAGACGGGUAGGGGACCUGAGAGGGUGAUCCCCCACAAUGGAACUGAAACACGGUCCAUACACCUGCGGGUGGCAGCAGUAGGGAAUAUUGCCUAAUGGGCGAAAGCCUGAAGCAGCAACGCCGCGUGAACGAAGAAGGCCUUCGGGUCGUAAAGUUCUUUUACGUGGGAUGAGGAAGGACAGUACCACGAGAAUAAGUCUCGGCUAACUACGUGCCAGCAGCCGCGGUAAAACGUAGGAGACGAGCGUUAUCCGGAUUUACUGGGCGUAAAGCGCGUGUAGGAGGCGCUACAAGUUGGAUGUGAAAGCUCCCGGCUUAACUGGGAGAGGUCGUUCAAGACUGUAGUGCUAGAGUGAGGCAGAGGUAGAUGGAACUCCGGGAGUAGUGGUGAAAUGCGUAGAUAUCCGGAAGAACACCAGAGGCGAAAGCGAUCUACUGGGCCUAAACUGACACUGAGACGCGAAAGCCAGGGUAGCAAACGGGAUUAGAGACCCCGGUAGUCCUGGCCGUAAACGAUGUAGACUGAGCGUUGGUUGGGUAAAACCAAUCAGUGCUGAAGCAAACGCGAUAAGUCUACCGCCUGGGGAGUACGGUCGCAAGAUUAAAACUCAAAUGAAUUGACGG
rnacentral:rRNA from 1 species